UACGAGGGGGGCGAGCGUUGUUCGGAAUUAUUGGGCGUAAAGGGUGCGUAGGCGGUUUGGUAAGUCUGAUGUGAAAUCUAUGGGCUCAACUCAUAGUCUGCAUCGGAAACUGCCGGGCUUGAGUAUGGGAGAGGUGAGUGGAAUUCCUGGUGUAGCGGUGAAAUGCGUAGAUAUCAGGAGGAACACCUGUGGCGAAAGCGGCUCACUGGACCAUAACUGACGCUGAUGCACGAAAGCCAGGGGAGCAAACGGG
rnacentral:rRNA from 1 species